UUCCUGGAAUAUACAGUUUAAGGUUGCGACUUAAAGCGAACAAACAAGCUUCCUACAAGUAAGCAAAUGCUCAGGAUAUGACGCAGAGGCGGGUCUCAUGUGAAGCUUGAAACUGUUUGACAGAUCGAUGUGUUGCAUUUUUCAGUUAUGAAACAUACUUUGCACUUCGCUGGGGCCAUGCUCUACAUUUCAACAAUUACAUUUCUCAUGUGCAUUUUUUCGUGGGGGUCGUUUGUCAGAAGUGCACGAGAACUACCUGAUGUAACGGACUACGAAAUAAUCAGACCUCAGAGAUUGAGCCGGACGAAACGGGGCCUCUCAUCAGAACAGGCACAUCCGGAAGUGCUUCAAUAUGCUUUGACUAUUGAGGGAAAAAGACACAAAAUCCACUUGGAGAAAAACAGGCAUCUCAUUGGGAAAAACUACACUGAGACAUACUAUUUAGAAGAUGGAACUGAAGUGACCACAUCCCCAGAUUAUGUGGAUCACUGCUAUUACCACGGACACAUUCAAGACGUUGAAGAUUCGUCUGUUAGUGUUGGAGUGUGCUCUGGAAUAAGGGGCUUUGUGCGGGCCGAACAGCAGGUGUACCUGAUCGAGCCCCUCAGUGACUCGGUGGAUGGGGACCAUGCGGUGUACAGGCAAGAGCACCGGAGAACCCAACGGAGCACCUGUGGGAACUCCAACGAGUCCUUCUAUGACCACGAGCCCAGAGUCUCCGGGGUGUACAAGCCAAACAGCCCGAAAAACAAAUUCCUGUUUGAUGGAAAGGAAAGAUUUGUUGAGCUUUAUUUGGUCAUUGACAAUGCAGAGUACAUAAACCUUGGCAGAGAUGAGCGGAGAAUAACGGCCAGAGCACUGGAAGUUGCAAGCCAUGUUGAUAAAUUGUAUCAGCCCUUGAACAUCCGAGUCAUGCUGAUUGGAAUGGAUGUUUGGUCAUCCAGGGAUCUGACUCCCAUCAGUCUUGAUUCUGAUAAGACCCUGAAUAAUUUUCUCCAGUGGAGGCAGGACACCCUUAUUAAAAAGGUCAAACAUGACAAUGCGCAGUUGAUCACUGGUGUUGAUUUUCUGGGCGACACUGUCGGCUUGGCACCCACAUCUGCUAUGUGUACUGGCCAGUCUGGAGCAGUGAAUCAGGGCAAGGGGAGGGACGCGGUGGCCGUAGCUUCCACCAUCGCUCACGAGAUGGGCCACAACCUGGGAAUGAGCCACGAUGAACAAGUGUGUACGUGUGGCCUGAGCUCCAGCACCAACUGCAUCAUGCAGAGCACUAUUGGCUCAGUUUACCCAGAGGCCUUCAGCAGCUGCAGUUAUCAGGACCUGGGCACGUUUCUACAGAACAGUGACCCUAGGUGCCUGAUGGACUCGCCGCACACUGACCGGCUCCUCGGGGGUCCCGUGUGCGGCAACGCCUUCCUGGAGGCUGGGGAGGAGUGCGACUGUGGAACGCAGAAGGAGUGCCAGAACCCGUGCUGUAACGCCACCACGUGUCGGCUGACGGCAGGGUCACACUGCGCUGCGGGGGAGUGCUGCGAGAACUGCCAGCUCAAACAGGUCGGACAGCUUUGCAGGGAGAGUGCAAACGACUGCGAUCUGGCGGAGUACUGCAGCGGGAAAUCAGCGCAGUGUCCGCAGGACGAGUUCAGGAUGAACGGCCUGUCCUGUGGCUCCGGGCAGGGGUACUGCUAUAACGGCCAGUGUCCGACAUACUUCCAGCACUGCCGAAGACUGUGGGGAUCAGGUGCACAGGUUGGAAGGGAUUUAUGCUUUCAUGAAAAUAUAUAUGGCAGCGACCACGCUUACUGCAAAAAGACCGCAAGUGGCAAUGUGGGCUGCACAAGGAAAAAUAUGAAAUGCGGAAAGAUAUUCUGCACCGGAGGGAAGAACUUUCCUAUUACCGGAAGAUUGGUCAGUUACCCUAGGGGUCCGGAAGUUUGCAAAUUAGCCGUGGAUAAUUCUGGAAUAGAAGACAUUGGCAUGGUGCCGACAGGAACAAAAUGUGGGGAUAAAAGGGUGUGCUACGACAACGCCUGCCAUGACAUUAAAGUGUACGGUGGAGAUGACUGCUCUGACAAGUGCAGCAAACAUGGGGUCUGUAACCAUGAGAGGCAAUGCCACUGUGAUCCUGGCUGGGAGCCACCCUACUGUGCUGUGAAAAGUGAUUUUGAUAAAGGUAAGAACUCUGUGGUCAUAGGAGUGUCGGUGUCAGUGGUCAUUCUGAUCCUGCUCACCCUCGUUGUUGGAGGGCUCAUGUGCUGCAGAAAAGAGAAAAAAGAAAUCUUCACAGGCAAAACGCAUGUGAGCCAUAUCUCAGGCCUGUCAAACCCACUGUUCCACUCAGCCAGUGCCACAAACAGCCCUCGCUGUGGACCCCCUCGAGUUGGUCAGCCCACCUUAGUGGAAUCAUCUGCCUCUCCGGCACGCUGCCCCACCUACGUCACAGUUAUGCCCAGCAGGGCCCCGCCCCAGCCACCAAAGAAACUGGCAUCUGAGGGGCUUCAAUCAAACUCUGCACAGUUUGUGAAGCCCAGUGUUCCAGUUCCUGCUUCCUCGAAUAAGAUGGCACCUUCGCAGGGAAUACCAUUACCUCCAACAAAGCCUUUACCAAUCCUUCAUGUUAAUCAAGUGAAGAAGCCUAAUUCACAUCCACCGUUACCCCCUAUGAAGCCACCGGGACCAAAACCAUCUGGAAAUCGGCAUCAAACACACCAGAUACUCAACUGAGUAUUCUUAAAAUUGGAAAUUUGGUCACAGCACCUUUCAAGAUGAAACGCCGUUCCACUGAAACCCCUGACCAAGCCAAGAUGAAUGCACAGAAAGAUCAGUGCUGAUUCACUCAUAACUUUGGAGGUCUGCAGCUUGCGUCAGAAGGUGGCAUCUCCGAUGAUGCAGAAGCAACGCUUUCAAAUCUGCCCCUGCCUUUGAGGAAGAGAGGGUCUGAAAGGAUUCAGGACUGUUGAUGAUUGGGUGGCUGUGGGUACAACUGCCGAUAUGGGUUUAAUUUUCUAUUUGGGUUUAAGUUAGAGAAGCAAAGCUUACUUUAUUUGCAUGAAGCUGAAGGUGUUUUUACCGCAUAUUCUGGUUUUAAGCAGGUUUACAUUUCACACAACAGAAUCAAUCAAUGUCAUGCUGCAUGUAGAAUCAUGUCUGUCCUACAAAAGGUUUUGUUCAUUGCUCACCCCUGAUGAUACCUGUAGUUGUAUCUGUACAGACUUCAGACCAGUACAGCAGUGUCAUAUUUUCCCAUUUUAGUGUCUGACUGAUACUGAGUGAUGUAAAAAAUGCAGCCAGGACCAAAAAAUGUUUAAAUAAACAAAAAGGCACUUUAAAAAUCUCUUAAAGGAGUUUUCACCUGUUUUAACUGAUAAGUCUUUGUCUUUCUAUGUUUUUUGUAUUUGUAUUACAUUUUUUAAUGUUGCUUUAUAUUUAUUUUUGAGUAACUAAUAUGUAUUUUCUUCUGCAAAUAUUAAAAUCUAUUUUAAAGCCAA